rnacentral:misc_RNA from 1 species
CGCAAGGGUGAUUUACACAAGCUGCAUUUUUUUUGCUCCUAGAAUUUCAAUUAAUAUUGAAGGACAACUUAAAUACAAUACCCAAUUGGUAUAUUACAAUAGAUAAUCAAGAUUCUGACAAUGAAUAGCAUCUCAAAAUUUGGGUGCCUACUUUACAUUCACACAUAUGGUACACAAAAAAUACAACCACCCACUCGCCAAGUAACUUAACGAUGUGCCCCAGCACAACCAUGUGUAGUAACUUAACCAACCAUGUAGUGUAGCCUUCAUAUCCUCUAGUUUUUAUCAGCGAUUCAAUUUCUUUUCCAACUGAACAUUUUUCAUCUUUUGUCUCUGCAACUCUUCCACAAGACUUCCAAUGCUUUGUUGCAAUUGAAUGACCAUUGAUUGCAGUUCUCUCUCUCUAACAGAAGUAGCAGGCAUCUGCGGGAGAUCACUGGUCCCAGCUUCAGCUAAGUCUGUGGGGUUGACAGAUCCUCGCUCUGCGAACUUGAUCAGCUUCACUAAUUCCUCCCUUUGCAAAGUAUUCUGCUGUAGAAUGCAUUGCAAUGUUGGAAGUAGUGAAGCAGCUGCUAGACCUAGAUUAAUUGCACUAGUAGAACCUCCCUGAACUGGGUUAAGGAAAUAGCUUGUAGGUUCCUUGGGACUUAGAUCUGCUGAUGUGACUUGAAAACGUCCCUUGCGUUGGACAAUAGCUCCUUCUGAUGAAUCUUCUCCUAAAUCUUUUUUAUGUCGAUACUGCAGUGGGCCGCUAUAGUUUCGCUCAGACUGGUACUUUGGAUGUUGAUAUUCCCUCUCUCCAUCAGUAACAACUUUUUUGGGUGAAAGAGCGUUAUCCUGUAGCAGUGAACCACUAAAAAACUUUUUAUGCCCAGGAAUAACAGAACGUGGCAAGGAGCUACUCUGUCGCAGAUUCUCACCAUCAUCUUUUCCACCAUCUUGGUCCUCAACUUUUGCUAGUGAUAGCAUAUCAUUCUGCUGAUUAGACUCUGAUUGCAUAGUAUCUUCCCAACUUGGACUACUAGCAGUUAUGUCAUCUUCACACAUAUCAAAACAUCCCUUGAGUGCUUGAAGAGGCUUAAUAGGAAAUGCAGCAAGAGAACCAUCCAAAUCAUGAUUGCCAUUCAUCUCAUCCUCGUGAGAUAGGACACUCGACUGAUUAUGCCUUUCUACUACAGAACCAACGUCACCAUUCCCCUCCCUUAGCUUCCCCCUGUUACUUGAAUCUUCAGCAUCUGGAAUGUCGUCAAAAUCUGGAAGAAGAGCAGCUUGGUUCUUCAGAUCCUCCAGAUUGAAAUUCCAAGCACUGAUACCACGAAUAUACUCUUGCUGUGAUAAAUGGUCCUUGUCCUCGUACAUUGCCUGGUUCUGUAAAAGAUAAUCUGCUUCUCUAGCCUUAAGCAUCCUAAAACGAUCACCUAGAGGUGGAAGGCCAUCAAGGAUUGUACGUGCCAAAUAAUCAUGUCCUCGUGCUUGUUUAAAGAAAGGGUGCUUCAAAAGCUUCUCAGAAGACGGACGCUUCUUUGGAUCUUUUACUAAGCAAGCAGCAACCAUUUCUUUAAAAGACUUA